rnacentral:tRNA from 1 species
GGGCACAAAACUCGCGUCUUACACGGCUUAUAGGGUCUUAUAUGAGGGCUAAGUAACUGUAUUUGCAUCAAGUUAGUCGAACACACGGUGGAAGUCGCAGGUUCGAAUCCUGCUGUGCCCACCA